rnacentral:rRNA from 1 species
AUACGGAGGAUCCAAGCGUUAUCCGGAAUCAUUGGGUUUAAAGGGUGCGUAGGCGGGUUUGUAAGUCAGUGGUGAAAGUUUUCGGCUCAACCGGAAAAUUGCCAUUGAUACUGCAAGUAUUGAAUCAUUAUGAAGUGGUUAGAAUGUGUAGUGUAGCGGUGAAAUGCAUAGAUAUUACACAGAAUACCGAUUGCGAAGGCAGAUCACUAAUAAUGUAUUGACGCUAAGGGACGAAAGCGUGGGUAGCGAACAGGAUUAGAAACCCCAGUAGUCC